rnacentral:rRNA from 1 species
AGGAUGAACGCUGGCGGCGUGCCUAACACAUGCAAGUCGAACGUCCUGUCUCGCAAGAGGCAGGGAGUGGCGGACGGGUGAGUACCACGUGGGUUAUCUACCGUGAGGUGAGGAAUACCGGCGAGAAAUCGCCGACAAGACCGCAUAGCCUCGGUGCAAGCCGAGGAAAGCUUUCUCGAGAGAGGGAGCGCCACACGAGGAGCCUGCGCCCGAUUAGCUAGCUGGUGGAGUAACGGUUCACCAGGGCGACGAUCGGUAGCUGGUCUGAGAGGACGAUCAGCCACACUGGGAUUGAGAACGGCCCAGACUCCUACGGGGGGCAGCAGUGAGGAAUUUUCGUCAAUGGGGCAACCCUGAACGAGCAACGCCGCGUGCAGGAAGAAGGUUUUCGGAUCGUAAACUGCUUUUCUCGGGGAAGAGAACGGACGGUACCCGAGGAAUCGAGCCCCGGCUAACUACGCGCCAGCAGCCGCGGUAA